rnacentral:lncRNA from 1 species
AGAAUAAUUGUAUGUGUUGAAAAGGUUCAAGUUUGGGGUUGAAUGGGGAAAAUGAAAAGCAAAAGAAUAAGCAUUGAGUUCAAAAAAAAAGUGAAAAAGAAAAAUGCAUGAGAAAAAGAAAAGAAGAAAAGAGAAAAAGCAUGUAAAGUGAGCUCAAUGUAAAAGGAAAAGGGAAGAAGUUGGGAAUGAAUGAGAUUGGUUAAAAGGAGAGUGUGCUUGAACUUUGAAUGAUUUAAACUCUCAUAACUCAAGGAUUUUGUAUUCUAGAAAAACCAAUUUUUCUUGAUAGCUCAGGCUCAUUACAAGCCUUGGAAAAAGUCCUUGUGAUGGCAUUUUCAUGUGAAAGAAUUUGAUUGUUUUAGAUGAAUGGCAAU